ensembl:snoRNA
GCCUAGGUCUAUGCCAACAGGGCUUUUCCCACAGACGCUCGUCAUUGGAAACACCUCAUAGAAUAUUUCUGUGGUUUUGCUUUCCUCACAGGACUUUGUUUUAGGUCUGUGUGAAGGAAUUAUAAGAUAAUU